rnacentral:rRNA from 1 species
AGUUUGACUCCUGGCUCAGGACGAACGCUGGCGGCAUGCCUAACACAUGCAAGUCUAGGGUGUAGCAAUACACACUGGCGCACGGGUGAGUAACGCGUAGAUCAUCUGCCCCUAUCACCGACAUAACUCUUGGAAACGGGAGCUAAUAUCGGAUGAGGUGAGCAAUCAUCAAAGUUUCGACGGAUAGGGAUGAGUCUGCGUCUGAUUAGGUAGUUGGUGAGGUAAUGGCUCACCAAGCCUACGAUCAGUAGCUGGUCUGAGAGGACGAACAGCCACACUGGAACUGAGACACGGUCCAGACUCCUACGGGAGGCAGCAGUGAGGAAUAUUGGACAAUGGGAGCAAUCCUGAUCCAGCAAUGCCGCGUGUGGGAUGACAGGGCUUCGCCUUGUAAACCACUGUCGGACGGGACGAAAGGAGGCCUCGGGCCUCUGGGACGGUACCGUCAAAGGAAGGGUCGGCUAACUACGUG